CUUUACCCUGUGCAUGCAUUUUGCCGAUAGUCUCGCAGAAUUCCCUCUCGUCAAUGCGACUUUCGGGGUGUUGCCUUGCGGCCCCUGAAAGAAACAACGUUCCUGCUGGUUAACUCUGUGAGGCACACUUUUCCUGCUGAAUAGGCUUUGCGAGACGACAGGAUUCUUUCGUGAGAAGAAGGCGGGAGAAGGCAAGAGAGAGGGGCGAAGUCCGGUUCGCGAAGAGGGAAAGAAGAACGGAAGGCAAGCAUUGGGGAGGUGGAGCGCGACGAAAACACAGAUCGGCAGAGGAAUGAAGCGGUUAGAGAAUCUGUGGAAAAGCUUCUGGGGGAUAAACGACGAGUGGCCUCGUGGUUUAGCUCGUGAAUGUCGUGGUUUACCCCUAGAAAGGUGCGCCGUGUCACAAGAAACUCCGCGAAAUCGCCGCUGGACCUCCCCGAGGCAUUCACAAAUGGUGGCCGACGAGUCUCAGCACGGUCCUUUAAGGAAAACUGACACACUACACCUUCGAGUAGCCUAAAAGCCACCUAUCUGGAUAUACAAAGACAGACUCUGGCAUUACCUUCAUGGAAAGGGACAGAGACAUACUUUCCGCUACGUGCCUUGGACACUGGUCGUAGCGAAGCUGCCUGCGCUGCUGCGCAAUUCCGCUUACAUAAACAGACUCGCCAGUCCUCGGAAUUCUUCAAAAGAAGUUUCGUGCGUCCCUGCAGGAGCCGCGUUGCCGUGUCUGGCUGUUCUGUGCACCGGCCAGCAGGCGGAGUACGUGUGUCUGCCGGUCGAUAGAUGCAUAUAUGUACAAGCAUGUGUGAAUGUGUGAUUUUCCGCAAAACUCGGGGUGUUCAAGGGAGGUGAUAGUCUUCGGAGUAGAUGCGCCUGUGGUGUGUUUCUCUUUUCCGCUGAUGUUCCGAUGAAUAUAACGCGAGAGAAACGCGAACACGUAGCCUUGGACACCGGCUGUUUGCGCUCUCUGUCACAGGCGAUGGCUUUUCCCUUUUCAAAACUGACGAGGCCGUCCAG
rnacentral:lncRNA from 1 species